UACGUAGGGUGCAAGCGUUGUCCGGAAUUAUUGGGCGUAAAGAGCUCGUAGGCGGUUCGUCGCGUCGGCUGUGAAAUCCCGGAGCUCAACUCCGGGUCUGCAGUCGAUACGGGCGGACUCGAGUUCGGCAGGGGAGACUGGAAUUCCUGGUGUAGCGGUGAAAUGCGCAGAUAUCAGGAGGAACACCAAUGGCGAAGGCAGCUCGCUGGGACGUGACUGACGCUGAGACGCGAAAGCGUGGGUAGCAAACAGG
rnacentral:rRNA from 1 species